UCCGGUUUAUCACCGGCAGUCACCUUAGAGUGCCCAACUGAAUGCUGGCAACUAAGAUCAAGGGUUGCGCUCGUUGCGGGACUUAACCCAACAUCUCACGACACGAGCUGACGACAACCAUGCACCACCUGUCACCACUGUCCCCGAAGGGAAAAGUGUAUCUCUACACCAGGCAGUGGGAUGUCAAGACCUGGUAAGGUUCUUCGCGUCGCGUCGAAUUAAACAACAUGCUCCGCUGCUUGUGCGGGCCCCCGUCAAUUCCUUUGAGUUUUAGCCUUGC
rnacentral:misc_RNA from 1 species